rnacentral:lncRNA from 1 species
GGAACUGGCUGGCACACAGUGGAUCGCUUUCUUAGCUGCUUCCUGUUGGUGGUUGUGUAUAUCUAAAGGGAAGAUGACAGCCAGAAACCACCAUGAGAAAGAAAGCAGCUGCUUUAAUGAGUAGGGCAGAUUAAUGUGGAGAGGGUAAUUCCUGGGAAAUAUGUCUUCACACCUAGAAGUCAGACCAUCCUGGGUUGCUGAGAUGCAGGUGCUCGCCCAGCAGCUUCACAGUGUCCAUCUUAGACUUUUUCUGGAAAAACAAACAAACAAACAAAAAACAGUGUUGACCAUAAA